rfam:Lentisphaerae bacterium RIFOXYC12_FTLL_60_16 rifoxyc3_full_scaffold_727, whole genome shotgun sequence.
GGUCAAACGCAAAAGGGCACACAAUGGAUGCCUUGGCACCAACAGGCGAUGAAGGACGUGGUAAGCUGCGAUAAGCCUCGGGGAGCGGCACACACGCUUUGAUCCGGGGAUUUCCGAAUGGGGCAACCCACUCCGCGUUAUGGUGGAGUAUCGGAGUCUGAAUACAUAGGGCUUCGAAGUGAGACCAGGGGAAGUGAAACAUCUCAGUACCCUGAGGAAACGAAAGCAAAUGCGAUUCCGUCAGUAGUGGCGAGCGAAAGCGGAACAGCCUAAACCAUCCCGCUUGCGGGAUGGGGUUGCGGGACCUUGAUGUGGUAUCUGUACGAAUAGCAGAACGGUCUGGAAUGACCGGUCAUAGACGGUGAGAACCCGGUAUGCGAAAUUCGGCCAGGACCUAGAGGUAUCCCAAGUAGGGCGGGUCACGUGAAAACCCGCUUGAAUCCGGGGGGGCCACCCUCCAAGGCUAAAUACUCGUUGGUGACCGAUAGUGAACUAGUACCGUGAGGGAAAGGUGAAAAGAACCCCUGCUAGGGGAGUGAAAUAGUACCUGAAAUUGUGUGCCUACAAGCUAUGGGAGUCUGGCGCAAGCUGGAUGACCGUUUGCCUUUUGCAUAAUGAGUCCGCGAGUUACAGUGUGCGGCAAGGUUAAUCCCGAUCGGGGAGAAGCCGAAGCGAAAGCGAGUGCGAAAUGCGCGAUUAGUCGCAUGCUGUAGACCCGAAGCCCAGUGAGCUACCCAUGGACAGGCCGAAGCUGCCGUAACAGGCCGUGGAGGGCCGAACUAGUGGAUGUUGAAAAAUCCUUGGAUGAUCUGUGGGUUGGAGUGAAAGGCUUACCAAACUGGGUGAUAGCUGGUUCUCUUCGAAAUAGCUUUAGGGCUAGCCUGCGCGAAUGCUCGAAUCGGGGGUAGAGCACUGAAUGGAUGAAGGUCCCUACCGGGAUACUGACGCCAAUCAAACUCCGAAUACCGGUUCAGACACGCGUGGAGUGAGACUGUGGGGGAUAAGCUUCAUAGUCGAGAGGGAAACAGCCCAGACCACCAGCUAAGGUCCCAAAGACCGGUUCAGUGACUAAGGAUGUGGAAUUGCUAAGACAGCUAGGAUGUUGGCUUAGAGGCAGCCAUCAUUUAAACAAAGCGUAACAGCUGACUAGUCGAGUGAUUCCGCGCCGAAAACGAACGGGACUUAAACCGGUCACCGAAGCUGUGGAUGGGGUUCUGCGCAAGCGGGAUCCCGUGAUAGAAGAGCGUUCCAUAUGGGGUGAAGCGUGAGGGUAACCGAGCGUGGACCGUAUGGAAGUGAUUAUGCGGACAUGAGUAACGAAAAGCAGGGUGAGAAUCCCUGCCGCCGAAAUCCCAAGGUUUCCUGGGGAAGGUUCGUCCGCCCAGGGUUAGUCGGCACCUAAGCCAAGGCCGAAAGGCGUAGGCGAUGGACAACAGGUUUAAUAUUCCUGUACUGCCAGGGCGGCGCUUGAGCAAUGGAGUGACGCAGGAGGCUAGAUCAGCCGUCGAUUGGAAGUGACGGUCUAAACCCCUAGGGCGUUCCAGCAGGAAAAUCCACUGGAACACAUGCCUGAAAGGUGAUGGGUAGCUGAGUCUACGGACAAAGCGGAUUGAUUGAUGCCACGCUGACAGGAAAAACUUCUAGCAAGCCGUUCGGGCAACCGUACCAAAACCGACACAGGUGGGAGGGUAGAAUAUACCAAGGCGCGCGAGCGAAACCUCGUUAAGGAACUCGGCUCUAUAGCCCCGUAACUUCGGAAGAAGGGGUCCUUCAGAAUGUGAACCAAGCCUUACCGUUUGGGGAGCGUUUUGAAGGCGCAGUGAAAGGGCCCAGGCGACUGUUUAACAAAAACACAGCACUCUGCGAACUCGCAAGAGGACAUAUAGAGUGUGACACGUGACCAAUGCCGAAAGGUUAAGGCAAGGGGUUAGCCGCAAGGCGAAGCUCUGACCCGAAGCCCCGGUGAAUGUCGGCCGUAACUAUAACGGUCCUAAGGUAGCGAAAUUCCUUGUCGGGUAAGUUCCGACCUGCACGAAUCGUGUAACGAUCUGGGCGCUGUCUCAACGAGGAACUCGGUGAAGUUGUAAUUCCGGUGAAAAUGCCGGAUACCCGCAGGAGGACGGAAAGACCCCGUGAACCUUUACUGUAGCCUGAUAUGGGCGUUUGGUUUGUUAUGUGUAGCAUAGCUGGGAGACUUUGAACCCAUCUCGUCAGGGAUGGGGGAGUCAACAGUGAAAUACCAGUCUUGACAAGGCGGACGUCUAACCUGAGCCCGUGAAACCGGGACAGGGACAAUGUCAGAGGGUCAGUUUGACUGGGGCGGUUUCCUCCCAAACAGUAACGGAGGAGUUCGAAGGUUCCCUCAGCAUGGUUAGCAAUCAUGCGUCGAGCGCAAUGGUAUAAGGGAGCUUAACUGCGAGACUUACAAGUCGAGCAGAUGCGAAAGCAGGACAUAGUGAUCCGGUGGACGCUCGUGGUAGUGCCAUCGCUCAACGGACAAAAGGUACUCCGGGGAUAACAGGCUGAUCGCUGCCGAGAGUUCAUAUCGACGCAGCGGUUUGGCACCUCGAUGUCGGCUCAUCGCAUCCUGGGGCUGGAGAAGGUCCCAAGGGUUUGGCUGUUCGCCAAUUAAAGCGGUACGCGAGCUGGGUUCAGAACGUCGUAAGACAGUUCGGUCCUUAUCCUCUGUGGGCGUAGGAGAUUUGAGGAGAACAUUCCAUAGUACGAGAGGACCUGGAAUGACAUACCUCUGGUGUUCCAGCUGUUCCGCCAGGAGCAUCGCUGGGUAGCUAUGUAUGGAACGGAUAAGCGCUGAAAGCAUCUAAGCGCCAAGCCUCCUCCAAGACUAGAUCUCCCGGACCGCAAGGUCCCUAAAGGCAGGUUGAAGACUACGACCUUGAUAGGCCGGAUGUGAAAGUUUGGUGACAAACUGAGCUUACCGGUACUAAUCCGCCGUGUGGUUUGACCUU